AUCCCGAAGCGGGGGUACCGCGGCCGGCACGGCGUGGUUGAGACAGACCCUUCGAACCUGAUCCGGCUCAUACCGGCGUAGGGAAGCUUCGCAGGAUGUGCC
rnacentral:ncRNA from 2 species